rnacentral:rRNA from 1 species
CCUACGGGGCGCAGCAGUCGAGAAUCAUUCACAAUGGGGGAAACCCUGAUGGUGCGACGCCGCGUGGGGGAAUGAAGUUCUUCGGAUUGUAAACCCCUGUCAUGUGGGAGCAAAUUAAAAAGAUAGUACCACACGAGGAAGAGACGGCUAACUCUGUGCCAGCAGCCGCGGUAAUACAGAGGUCUCAAGCGUUGUUCGGAAUCACUGGGCGUAAAGCGUGCGUAGGCUGUUUCGUAAGUCGUGUGUGAAAGGCGCGGGCUCAACCCGCGGACGGCACAUGAUACUGCGAGACUAGAGUAAUGGAGGGGGAACCGGAAUUCUCGGUGUAGCAGUGAAAUGCGUAGAUAUCGAGAGGAACACUCGUGGCGAAGGCGGGUUCCUGGACAUUAACUGACGCUGAGGCACGAAGGCCAGGGGAGCGAAAGGGAUUAGAUACCCCAGUAGUC